UGCACCACAUGGUAUCUGCAUGCAGUGGUUUAUUUCUGCUUGGAUGUUCCAACAACAGUGCAACAGACAUUUAGUAUCUGCACUUGCUUUUCCUGACUUUAAGCAUAUUAAAUCUGAUAUUUGUAUUGAUACAAUA